GACAGAGGGUGCGAGCGUUGUUCGGAAUUACUGGGCGUAAAGCGCGCGCAGGCGGAUCCUGCAAGUCGGAAGUGAAAUGUGGCUGCUCAACGGCCACGCUGCUUCCGAUACUGCGGAUCUGGGGACCGGUAGAGGCUGGUGGAAUUGCAGGUGUAGCGGUGGAAUGCGUAGAGAUCUGCAAGAACACCCGUGGCGAAGGCGGCCAGCUGGGCCGGAUCCGACGCUGAGGCGCGAAAGCGUGGGGGAGCAAACAGG
rnacentral:rRNA from 1 species